rnacentral:rRNA from 1 species
CUACGGGAUGCUGCAGUGAGGAAUAUUGCACAAUGGGGGGAACCCUGAUGCGGCAACGCCGCGUGGAGGAUGACGCAUUUCGGUGUGUAAACUCCUUUUAUAUGUCAAGGAAAUGACGGUAGCAUAUGAAUAAGCACCGGCUAACUCCGUGCCAGCAGCCGCGGUAAUACGGAGGGUGCAAGCGUUACUCGGAAUCACUGGGCGUAAAGGACGCGUAGGCGGGUUGGAAAGUCAGGUGUGAAAUCCUACAGCUUAACUGUAGAACUGCACUUGAAACUUCUAAUCUAGAGUAUGGGAGGGGGAGAUGGAAUUAGUGGUGCAGGGGUAAAAUCCGUAGAUAUCACUAGGAAUACCUAAAGCGAAGGCGAUCUCCUGGAACAUUACUGACGCUAAGGCGUGAAAGCGUGGGGAGCAAACAGGAUUAGAUACCCGGGUAGUC